CCUGAACUCAGACGGAA
rnacentral:rRNA from 1 species